GCGCCUGUAGCUCAGCUGGAUAGAGCGCCGGACUACGAAUCCGUAGGUCGGGGGUUCGAAUCCUCCCAGGCGCGCCA
rnacentral:tRNA from 1 species